rnacentral:rRNA from 1 species
GCCAGAGCUGUAUCUCCCUGCAGUUCUUGUCUGUGUUCCCACUGCAGCUAAGCAGGGUUGAGCCUGGCCUGUACCUCGAUGGGAGACCUCCUGCGGAAAACUAAGGUUGCUGCUGACA